rnacentral:rRNA from 1 species
UACGGAGGGUGCAAGCGUUGUUCGGAAUCACUGGGCGUAAAGGGCGUGUAGGCGGUCUGCUAAGUCUGAUGUGAAAUCCCCUCGCUCAACGAGGGAACUGCGUCGGAUACUGGCAGACUCGAGUACCGGAGAGGAAGGUGGAAUUCCCGGUGUAGCGGUGAAAUGCGCAGAUAUCAGGAGGAACACCAAUGGCGAAGGCAGCUCGCUGGGACGGUACUGACGCUGAGGCGCGAAAGCGUGGGGAGCAAACAGG